GCCACCCUUCGGGCAGCCUGUGUCUGGGAGACCCUUCCACUCCUGGGGUGGGGCCUCAGCCCCUCAGGCCUCGCGCCCAGCACUCCCCGCCUCUGUCAGGUGCUGCUUUUCCCAUACUUCACUUUUUUCAAAUCCCCAUCGCCACCCAAGUGCACGGAGAAGCCAACUGGAGCGUGCUUGGUGCACGUAUCCCAGCAGGAUUCUCUCCUGGAUCUUCAGACCAGAACAGCUACUGACUGGCACAUGUUCCUGUGUCGGCGAUGACACUGGUACCCCUCCAGGCCAGCUCCUGUUGAAGACAUGAGCCACGGAGGCAGAGGUGACCUGAGAACGAGAUCAUCCAACACCCCUCCAGCUGCAGACUCCCGGACCUGGUUUGGCUCCCAGCCUCCUCCUGCACACCUCAUCUGCAGCAGCCAUCAGGGAGCGUGUCCUCAUCCCUUGGAAGGUUCCCCGGGUGUUGGGAGGAGCUCCAGAUCCCGGGAUGGGAGGGAGUUCUGGCACCACCCGUCUGGAGGGGCAGCAGAUCCCCUGGUCUCCCAGCUUGCUGCUCUAAGGGGCCCCCUUCUAGGUCAGCAACACUUCCGUUCCCCUGGUGGAGUGAAGGCUCUCAACUUCAGGGCUAUUGACUGUUAGGGCUGGUGACUCUUUGGGGGUUCUUGUUCAUGUAGGAGAGUCAGCAGCCCCUGGAUUCUGCCCACUGCAUGCGGUGGGCCCUUGUAGUGACAAACGAAUAUGUCCAGACACAGCCUAGGAGACCAGGUCACCCAGGAUUGAGAACCACUGUGUUAGAAUAAUAGGUUCUACAAAUGUUUAAAUUUCACCUCCUCUCUCCCCUGUGAGAGGAAAUGAAAGUAAGC